UAUUGAUGCCUAGAGAUAUGUGUUCUC
rnacentral:piRNA from 1 species